rnacentral:rRNA from 1 species
AUUGAACGCUGGCGGCAGGCCUAACACAUGCAAGUCGAGCGAGUGGCGGACGGGUGAGUAAUGUCUGGGGAACUGCCCGAUAGAGGGGGAUAACUACUGGAAACGGUGGCUAAUACCGCAUACCAUCGGAUGUGCCCAUAUGGGAUUAGCUAGUAGGUGGGGUAACGGCUCACCUAGGCGACGAUCCCUAGCUGGUCUGAGAGGAUGACCAGCCACACUGGAACUGAGACACGGCCCAGACUCCUACGGGAGGCAGCAGUGGGGAAUAUUGCACAAUGGGCGCAAGCCUGAUGCAGCCAUGCCGCGUGUAUGAAGAAGGCCUUCGGGUUGUAAAGUACUUUCAGCGGGGAGGCGUUACCCGCAGAAGAAGCACCGGCUAACUCCGUGCCAGCAGCCGCGGUAAUAC